rnacentral:rRNA from 1 species
UACGGAGGGGGCAAGCGUUGUUCGGAAUUACUGGGCGUAAAGGGCGCGCAGGCGGCUGCUCAAGUCAGGCGUGAAAGGCCUGGGCUCAACCCGGGAAUUGCGCUUGAGACUGGGCUGGCUUGAGUGCGGGAGAGGAUGGUGGAAUUCCCAGUGUAGAGGUGAAAUUCGUAGAUAUUAGGAAGAACACCAGUGGCGAAGGCGGCUCACUGGCCCGGUACUGACGCUGAGGCGCGAAAGCGUGGGGAGCAAACAGG